GUCACCAGCACGCUCGAGACAUUCUCCGCCUUGAGCUUCAGCACUUGGUUCAACAACGCUUCCGUCUCGCGUACGGAGAGCGCCGAGGUCGGCUCA
rnacentral:sRNA from 1 species